UAACAAAAUUUCAACAAAAUCAAAUAAAAAACUAAGGGAGAAGAAGACAUGCGAUGAUGCAAUAUGCGGUGAACCAACCAUCAGAAGAACAAACUAUUCUUAUUAGUGUCGAUGAGGCAAACCCAUGAAGCCUAGUCCCAAACGGCAAUGUCCAAAGGAAGAAGACAACAACAAAAGCUUCAAUCUGCCAUCAUAAAAGACUACUAAUAGAAGAAGAAGAAGAAGAAGA
rnacentral:misc_RNA from 1 species